AUUGCCUCUUGUGUCCGCAGUAAUGUAGUUCGGUUCGAGUCCCGGUUGGUCAAGUGGUCGUUUACCACCCUACACGGGGGGAUAUUUGGAAUUGCAUGCUGCCCUCAUCUGAAUCAAAUGCUAUUCUUUCUCCAUGCUGGACAUGAUCAUUCGGCUGAGCAGAUUAACUCCUAGUUACUUCCGACUAUUACAGAGGCAGCUUGCGGGUGAAGCUGUGAUUCACAGUACCGACGGACUCAUCAACCUUUCGGCACUGCUGCUCGCCGUACUGGGCACUGGAGUGUCCUCCUAUAGCGUCAGGAGGAUGACUGAGAAACAGGGGUCUCCGUCAAGCAGCUGAAACCCGGGCCAGCCAGCUAAAAGGCAGGGAUAUCAGAGGACAAGCAGCCACAAACUGGACAGGAAUCGACGUAACAUGGCCCCCUCGUGGCAUUCCAUUCAAACUGGAAGAACCUAAAAGGGGACUAGCUGAGAAAAUGACUGAUGUUGGAGUGGCUGAUCCAAACCCUUCCGGAAUGAGAAUCUUUUAUGUGGACUUUCAGGUGAUAACUGAUAAAAUGCAACUGCAAUUAAAUAAUUUAAAGUUGUUGUAUUAACAGCAAGGUACAUACUCAAGGAGAGCUUAGCAUCAGUUGUAUCAAGGCUCUUCUGGCCUGUGUGUCCUAACAAUUGUAAUUUGAGGGCAUAUCAAGGUUCAAAGUAAACACAUGUCACCAUAUACAACCCCGCGAUUCAUUUUCUUGCAGGCAUACUCAAUAAAUCUAUAAUAGAAUAAUAACUAUAAUAGAAUCUAUGGAAGACAGCACCAACCUGAGCACUCAGCCAGCGUGCAAAAGACAAAAAACUGCAAGUACAAAAAGAAAGAAAUAAUAAUAAUAAAUAAAUGAGCAAUAAAUAGUAAGAACGUGAGGUGAAGAGUCCUUGAAAUUGAGUCUAUUGGUUGUGGGAAC